CAGGUUUCUCCCUCCUCUGUCUACUCACCAGGCCUCUCUGAGGACGCAGGAGGCAGGGGUUGCCGUGGGGGAGGAGCACCCUGCAGAUGGCGCCCUGACUCUGGCAAGGAAGGGGCUCCAGGGUCACAUGGAGGUCAAAGGAGAGCGGGGCAUGGCGAGGGCUGCUCACACAGGGUCCUGGCCACCCACGGGAACUAACUGAAAGAGCAGGGGGCAUUGAGGCCCUGAAGACACAGGGAGAACGCAGGCCACCUGGGGGGAGAGGGACGUUUCCUCUCAUGCAGUCAUCAACAAACUUUAACUGAGGGACACAAGGGAAUCUCAGAGAUUUAAGGAGUAAGUGCAUGAAAAGAAAGAAGGAAGGAGAGAGGACAGAGUCCCUGCACUGUCGGAACUCUCCUUGAAUAUAAGAUGACGGCUCAGAUGAAAAAAAUACCUACAAUGCAGAAUCAUGCAGGAGGUGCUAUAAAACUCUCCCAAAAUGAAGAAAAGAGAAAAAUCUUGCUUCGAGUCCACCUUGACAGCCCCAGCCCCGCACCCAGGGCCUGGCACACAAACAGCAAGCCGGGCCUCGGUGGAGUAGGGUGCACCUGGGGCUGCAGGGCAGGGGGACCUGGACAGGUCUCAGAGGGGGCUGCUGAGAGGAGGGGAGGGGCUCGGUGGAAGGGUCAGUGGCCUGGCCCGGAAACCAUCCCGGAGGAGUUCCUGGGGCCGGAAGUCUGCAGAGCUGUCCCCAGGAGGCCACUGCAGGGGCCCCUUGCAGGUGAGUGAGGGCCCCCAGGUCUCACCCUCUCGGGCCAGCCCAGCAGGGCAGUGACUCUGGGAGCUGUGACGAGCUGAACUGUGUCACCCUCCAGAUUCGUAGGUGGAAGCCUUCACCCCUGCCUGGUACCUCAGAAUGUGACCUAUUUUGGCGCAGGGCCUUUCCAGAGGUAAUAAAUUAAAAUGAGGUCAUGAGGGUGGGCCCCAAUCCAGUACAACUGGUGUCCUUAUGAGAAAUGCAAGACAGCUGGGUGUGGUGGCACAUGUCUGCAAUACAGAACUCUGAGAGGCUGAGUCAGGAGGAUCACAAUUUCCAGCCCAGCCUGGGCAAUGUAGGGACAGCCUGCCUCAAAAUUUAAAAAUAAAUAAAUAAAUAAAGGGCUGGGGAUGUAGCUCAGUGCAAAGCCCCUGGGUUCAAUCUCAGGAGAGAAAAGAGAAGAAGGAAGGCAGGGAGGAAACCAGGGAUUUUUGUGCAGAGGAAUGGCUGUAAGCUGUCUGCAAGUCCAGGAGAGAGGCCUCAAGAGAAACUGACCCUGCCAACACCUUGCUGCUGGACUUCCAGCCUCCAGACGUGAGUCAGUUUCUGUGGUAUGAGUCUCCCAGGCUAUGGUGCUUUAUUGCUGCAGCCUCGGCAGGACGAAGACAGGGAGUCAGCAUCACACUCUGAACUUACUGUGCAUCUCAGAUGAGUCAUUUAGCCUCUCUGUCCUGACCUGAGAGAAGAAGCAAGGUCCACCCAGGGCAACAGAGAAGCACUGGAGAAACUGAGUGUGUACCAUGGGCAUCCGUUCAGUGUGCAGAGUUUGGUCAGAGCACCUCUAAGCUGAGGUACAGCAGGAAGGAAGUUCGCCAGGGUGCAGGGGGGAAGAAACCAGGCCUUCCUUUGUAUCUGUUCUUACAUCUUCAUUUUACGUUUCUAUUUAUAUGCAUGGGGUUUUUAGAAUAUAUAAAUGUUUAUGUAAAACUUAUGAAAAAAGGUCAGCCUUUUAUAUUUCUGCUUCGCGUAUGAUUUUUUUAGUAUUGUUGUUUUGGCAUUGUUGGAUUUUUAUAUUUGGUUUUUGUUGUUUUGUUUUGUUCUGUUAUUUGCAUUGUUGGGAUAGAACCCAAGGCCUUGCCCCUGCUAGGCAAAUACUCUGCCACUGAAUUGCAUCCUCAGAGAUUUUAUUUUGCAGAAGAGUCUCACUGUAUCCUCCCAGGCUGUCUCAAACUUGUGAUCCUGCCUCAGCCUCCCCAGUAAGCGGGAUUACAGGCAUGCGCUGCCCACAUCAGCCUGUGCAUGGUGCUGAUGUAGUCAUCUGUAAAUGCAAUGCUAGCUGUGUGUAAUAUAUGAAUAAGCAGAUUUGCAUAUAGUAGGGGAUGAGAUUCUUAAGAUUUACUGGUGAGAAUACAGAGACCCACACAGAACGACAUGCUGUGCCAUCAAUAUUUCUCAUCUAUUGCUGUGCUAGGCUGGGUGCAGCAGGGGACAGCGGCCGUGUGAGAUGCCAUCGGGCCUGGGAAGCUGGUGGGUUGGCAGGGCGUUUGUGCACACUGAGUCCCCUGGACAAGUUUUGAGACUCAGAGACAGAGGCUCGCUGGUCUUCAGGAACGUGGUUGUGCGAUUCUGCGGACAGCGAGAGCUCUGGGCCGGCCUCACUGGGCCGACACCAGCGGCGUGGCCUUCUUCAGGCAGACGCCCUUCGUGGUGUGAGGGACAAACCGACACCAGAGAAAUAAAGGAAAAUGUGGAGGCACUAUCUGGGGCCUUCAGGGCUGACAGAUGGGUACCUGUGAGGCUCUGCUGAGAUCCCCACCAGUGGCUGGUGAUGCUUGGUCGGGGAUGUUCUUGUUUGGGGAAGUGGCCAGCAUGGAGCCUGUAAGGCAGCUGUGGGCUCAUUCCACAGUCACAGAGAGAUGGACAGAGGAGACCAGCGGCUGGGAGAGCUCUGUGCUGAGACCCCACAAAAUGAGACCCUUCAGGGCCCCGAAGCGUAGGGCAGGUGUGAAGAGGGCAUGGCUGGCUUGUGCUCGCUGUGUGCGGCAGCUUCCAGUCUGUGAAGGCAGGGUGGGAGCCACAGAAUACAAACUGGGGGAACUGGAGGUCUGAAGUGCCAGGUCAUGCUCAGCAAACAGCCCAGACCAGUGGGGGCGAACCUAUGGCAUGAGAGCCACAGCCAGCACACAGAGCCUGCUCUAUCGGGCCGAGAGCCAAGUCGCCCCACAGCUGAGCAUCAGAUAACACUUGUUUUUUCCUAAACUAACACCUCAGUUUUCAGGUUUAAUUGCAGUGUUGGUGCUUUGCGAAAAAUAAAUGGGUUUGGGGUUGCAUCUUGGGCACUCAACUCUAAAAGGUUCGCCAUCCCUGACCUAGACUUUUCCUGCAACAAACUGUACAAAUUCCUAGCUGUGUGGCCUGUGACUGGUCACUUAAUGUCUCUAAACCUCUGUUGUUUCAUCUGUGAGGCAGAGUAUUCUGUUCCCAGGGUAAACAAGGAGACAGGUCUGUUAUCCCCAAACCACCUCCACGUCCCAAAAGCUCCCUCUGAGAAUGACAUGCAGAACACAUGGCUCAGGAAGAAGGCCCAGAACACACCCACUGGGCAGCUGGGCAGCAGCCUCCGCCUUGUGACUGUCCCUCCUGCACCAUAUGGCAAGAGGGAUGGGCCAGGCAGCGGGAGGGCCGGGAGGCUUCAGCUGGUGAGUCUCACUCCACAGCUGGCAGGAGCAGAACGUCAGCCCCUCCACACCCCACCCUGUGGGCAGCAGAGGACGAAGGCCCAGAGCCCAGCAGACAGGUGCCUUGUCCUCCCUGAGCCGCUGACUCUGAGCAGAUGCAGGGCCCCAGCCUCCUCCCCCUCCUGCCUCCUUCCUCCUCUUCUUCCUGCUCUGAAUGAAUCUUUCUGGCUUCCUGGAAGUAGCCUGGGCUCCAUUUUCCCUCCCUCAACAGGGCAACAUUCCCUAGGCUCAGGCAGAGCACUGGUGAGUGGAGAAGUCACACUACCCAGGGGCCUCUGUGUAGUGGCCCGGACGGAGCAUGGGAACAGGGACUUUCAUGGGGAACGUCAUUCUUAGGAAAAGUCUUUCAUCCCCAAACCAAAGCAUUCUUUUUUUUUUUUUGGUACGGAGAUCGAACUCGGGUCCUUGCACUUGCACAGCAGGCGGCGAAACCACUGAGCUCAAUCCCCAGCCCACCAAAGCAUUCUUUUAAAAUUUUAUAGAAAAGAAAAAAGAGGCUGCAUUUGAUUUGGCAUGGAUUUACUGAACAUCCAUUCUGUGCUGGGCAUUUCUGGGCACCGUGGACACAGUGGGUAAAAAAUGGCCCUGGCACUUUCGGAUAAAUAACCGGGUUUGGGAGUGCAGUUUGGGCACUUGGUCUCUAAUAGGUUCACCAUCCCUGGAGUAGGGGUUGGUCCCCUCCACACCCUGGACACACCAUGCAGGUGUCAGCAGAGGGCGCUGUCUGGUCUGGGCCACGGGCAAUGUGGGUUCUGGGCUCCUCUGAGGACUGUGAACCGUGGCAGGACUACCCCCCGUGGGCACGGCACUGGGGACAGGACACGGGGCCCUCCACAGGCACAAUUAAACGUCAUUUGCAUCUCUUACAGGGAACAGAUGCUCCUUUCCAUCGGAAAUGUUCCCAUAUGGUCUGGGUUUGUUGCAAUUUCUAACAAGGCCUGGCCUUGAAUUUUGCAAUUAAAGGUGUCCCUGGGCUAUCACCAGAAAAGGAACCAAGUUCCAUUUGGCCCUGGAGGGUUUUUUUGGCCUCAGGCAGGAAGGAAUCUAGACAUCUGUAGCACAGGCCCUUACCAGCUCUACCUGAGUCCCACUCGGGGACAGUUUGGAGCCUUCCCUCUAGGGGUGAGCAGCAGCCCUGCCCUGAAGUCCUAGGAAAGACAGCAGAGUGGGGAGACGGGGAGGGACAGGGACCAGCGAGCAGGUCCCAGGGCUGUCAGGAUUGGCUUCAGGAGCCUCCCCUCGAGCAUCUCAUAGCCUCACUUUUCUGUUCACUGACCCUUUGGACCCUCUCCCCUCAUUUUUCCUCCUCUCUAACCUCAGGCCACAAACGGCCUCCCCAGAUCUUCAGACGUCUUCAAACCAAACCAGCAAUGGUUUCCGCACUCUGUGAACUGGCCAGGUCCUCACCUGCUCCAGCAUCCUCGGGGUCCCUGGCUGCUCAGUGUGGGGAGGACCAUCCUGCAGACUUCACGCCAGCCCUGUCCCCCAGCCCAGCCCACGGUUGUCCUGUAAGGCCUUUAACUUACAGCUCCUCUUCCCCAUUCUGCUCUCAGCUUGCUAUCUGAAUCUGGUGCAUGCUCUCAUCUCCCUAAUCACGUCUGGCUUUGUCUUGGCCCAGAUUCCCCAACCCCUCCUCCUAGGAACACAUCUACAUGUAACCCAAGAACUGUUCCCCGCCAGGGGACACCUUGGGUGUCACAUGUGCUUUUCCAGAAGUGGCCAUAGGAGGGCGGCCUUUCACCUCCUCUCAGGAACCCCUCUGUCUUCCCUGGACUGUGAACUCCUAUGUCCCCAGGCUAUGUCCUGUUGCAGGGACUGCUCAGCCUGCUCUCCCAAAUAGCAUUGCAGGCCUCCCCUGACCUUCUGUCUUCCCUCACACAGUUAUCUCCCUUAUCCUAUGGCCUCAGGACCUAGCCUGAGCUAUUAAUUCAUUCACUGGCUGUGUGACCAGGUGCGUUAUUUUUCUGUCAUAUGACAAAAUACUUUAUAUGAUCAACUCUUAAGGAGGAGAAGUUUACUUUGGCUCAGGAUUUCAGAGGCUUCCGUUCAUGGUUUGACCUGUUGCUUUGGGGCCUUCUGGUGAGACAUCAUGGAAACUGCAUGGUGGAGGGAGCAUCCACCUCCUAACAGCCAGGAGCAAAGAGAAAGCCACGGGAAGGAGCCAGGGUUCCAACAUCCCCUUCGAGGGAAGAGACCUGUCCCCAGGGACCUAACUUCCUUCCACUAGGCUCCACCUCCUCAGGGUUCCACCACCCCCUAAGAACACCAGAUUGAAGACCAGGCUUUCAACAUAUAGGCCUUUGGAAGAUGGCCCAGACCUAAACUAUGGCACCUGGUUUCUUACAACCACCUUUCAAACAUGGCCACUGGCAAUGACACAUAGCCUCCUGGAAAGCUGACCAGAUUGACUUCCACCCUCUGUGCUACUGACAUCAGAGGCACCGUGGGCAGAUCUGAACGUUAUCGAAGCACCGUAUUCUGGAACUUCCUGCCAAAUUUGCCUAUGGCACAUGGCUGAUUAUUUCAAGGUUGUCGUCUCUUUCCCCUCUGGCUCCAGGCCAACUCCUGUACUCCCUAAACCGUGUGGCUGCCGACAGCAUGCAGAUCUGACAUCUGUCAGUCAAGCUUUGAGACAGAGAGCCAGCCAGUACUCUUCGCCUCCCACAUCCAAGUCCCUGGGGAAGAAAUUCCACCAGGCCUGCUCAUCCACAUGAAGUGCCUAGCACCAUGCCUGACAGUGAGAAGCAUGCGGCAGUGUCAGCUGGUCUUAAUACUGGAAGUGGUGAUAGGAUUUUUUAAUAUCCAUAAUAAUUACUAGGGCCUCUGUGUCGGUGUCUGCACAGCUCUGUUUUGUGGAUGACAGUGUUCUUGUGUGGAAUCAGCGGAUACUUAACAGCCACCUGGGCCUCUGUGGCCAAGCCCACUUCAGGCUUCAGAAGCUGGAACAACCAUAGCCAUAGGCAGCUAAAUAGGCUAACUCCCCACAACCUACCAGCUCCAUUUGGACAGCAUAAAUCCUGCUUGACAGCCCCCAGCUCUGAGCCCAUGACUAAGAAAUUCUCUUUUAAGUAGAAGAUAACAUGGUUGGACAGUGACUACCAUUUGCAAACAAAAAUUCGAAAGAAAAUGGGUGCCCCGAGAAGGCUGCGCCAGGAAGCACAGGAGCAGGGAGGGAGAGAAACCCUUCCAGAUCACACCCGCAAGGAUCACUCCUCCAACCAGACCCCACCUCCUAACAGCAAGGCAGCUGUGCUGCCCAUGUGGCUGAGUCACCUUCCAGAACCCCCACCUAUGAGUGCAUGAGGCCUCUGGGGGACAUUCUUGGUCUAAAUCACAAUAAUCUUCAGUACUGAAACACACACACACAAAACAAAGGGCUAGAGGUGUGACUCAGUAUUCCCUGGCUUUAAUCUCCAGUGCUGUAAAUAAAUAAGUAAAUUUUAAAAACAGAAAAUAAUAAGUAAAAUGAGGAUGUGGAGAAAUCAGAACCCUUGUGGCAGGUAGGAAUGUAAAAAUUGUACAACCGCUAUGGAAAACAGUAUGAGGGUUCCUCAGAAAUGUAAAGUAGAAUUACCGUAUUACCCAGCAACACUACUUGUAGAUAUAUACCCAAAAGAAUUGUUUGUUUAUUUUUUUACUGGGGAUCAAACUCUGGUCCUUGCACCUGCAAGGCAGGCAGCGGAACCACUGAGCUAAAUCCCCAGCCCUAUACCCAAAAGAAUUGAAGGUAGGAUCUCCAAGGAAUAUGGGUGUAUUCAUGUUCAUAGCACCAUUGAUUAACAUAAGCCAAAAGAUGGAAGCAAUCACCAAAUGUCACUGACAGCUAAAUGGAUAAGCAAAAUACAAUGCAUGCAUACAAUGGCAUAUUAUUGUAUCAGUCUGCUCAGGCUCCCAUAAUAAAACACUAUAAACUAAAUGACUUGAACAACAUGGAUGUAUUUUCUCACAAAUAUAAACUAGAUGUCUAAGAUCAAGUCUCUGCCUGAUUCAGCUUUGGAUCAGGGUCUCGUCCUGGCUUGCAAAUAGCUGGCUGCUCCGUGUGUCCUCACAUGAUCUUUUCUUGGUGCCUGUGUGUGGAGGGACAAAAAGACAGACACAGACAGAGAGAACCAGCCCUCCAGUGUCUCUUCUUGUAAGGAGACUAACUCUAUCAGAGCAUGGCUCCACUACCCUUGUGACCUCAUUUAAAAAUGAAGGAAAUGGGCUGGGGAUUUAGCUCAGUGGCAUUGUGCCUGCCUUGCAAGUGCAAGGUCCUGAGUUCAAUCCCUGGUACCCGCCCCCCCAAAAACAAGGAAAUUUUGACAUCUGCUCCAAUAAGAAUGACCUCAAGGACAUAAUGCAAGGUGAAAUGAGCCAGCUACACACAAAAAAGACAAAUACUAUCUGAUCCAAUUAUAAAGUUCUUAGCAUCAUCAGGUUCAAAGAGACAGAAAGUAGAAUGCUGGUUGUCAGGGACUAAGAGGAAGAAGGGUGUGUUAGUUACCUUUCUCUCUCAUUGCUGAGACAAAAUACCUGAUACCCAAAGUUAGAAGGGAAGGGGUUUAUUUGGCUUAUAGUUUAUAGAAGUUUCAGCCCAUAAUCAGCUGACUCCAAGGAAGGGAUGACAAACAGGCAUGGCAGAACAGAAACAACAUGGCACACACAAGGCAGCAAAGGUAAUGAGAGAAAAUUACUGCUGUCUCCCUGGCCCUUUUAUUUUAUUAAAGCUACUUAGGGUGGAAAGCACUCACACCCUUAAUCCUAGUGCCCUUGAGCCUAGCAUUGCAUCAUGAAUCAAUUCCAGCUUCACACACCCUACCUAGAUCAAGCCUAUGACCACGUGAGGCUUUGGGAGACAUCCAGACCCAAACCGUAACAGAGGGAAUGAAGAAUUGUUGUGUAAUGGAGACAGAGUUUCAGUUUUGCAAAAUGAAGAGAGCUUUGGAGAUUAGUUGCUCAACAGUAUGAAUGUACUUAACACUACUGAACCAUACACUUGAAAAUGGCUAAGAUGGUAAGUUUGCUGAAAUGUGAGUUUUAUCACAAUUAAAAAUAACCAACAAACAAAGAAAUCCCCACUAGGAACACCACUCCACUCCUGCCUCCACUCCUAGAGUACUGGGGGUGAAAGGCAGGUGCUUUGAAAUAAGGAAGACCUGGCUUCACCUCUGCACCUCCCACAGCUACAAGGUAGCUGCCCAGUCUUCAAAAUGCAUCUUAUCCUUCAAAUGACUAAAUCUCAUUGAAUAUCAGGUUCCCUGCUGACUUUCUUGGGACUCUAGCAAAUUCCCAGUGGUCAGACUGCCUUGCAGUCCCUUAGCAGAUCCUCAGCAGAAGCAGAAGCUGGUAACUGGCAGCUGACCUGGGUCCUAAGUAUCUGAGUGCUGCACUGUCUGUAUUCUCCUCACCCCAUUGGCCCGUGUUUCAACAGCAUCCUACAGGGACUCCGCAUGUCUGACUUCAGAAAGAAAGAGCAGCAUGACUCCACUGCCAUUAAACUUGUCAAGAUUGUUCCCCAGAAGGUGCUCCCAGACCUAACGCUGACACCGAGGAAAGACCCUAGUUGGUUAUUUUGACACAUUCAGCCCAACUCUGCAACGGACUCAGUGACAUCCUCACUGGGCAGUUAGUUUCACAUCAGAGAAUACUUUGAUCCAUUCCAUGGGAUGCUCAAUGUGGAAUCAUUUAUCUUCCCUCUAGCUUUUAAAAAUGAGGAACUAGCCAGGUUUGGUGGUACACAACUGUAUUCCAGCACCCUGGGAGGGUGAAGCAGGAGGACUAAGAGUUUGAGCCCAGCCUGGGCAACUUAGUGAUUUAGUAGGACCCUGUCUCAAAAACACUGAAGAGUGUUGGGGAUGUAGUCGCAUGCAUAGGCCCUGGGUUCAAUCCUUAGUAUUGCAAUCAAUCAAUGAAUCAAUCAAUCAAUCAAUCAAAAAUUAAAAAUAAAAAUGAGGAGACUGAGGUCCAUAAAAGGUUAAGGGAUUUGCUUAAUGACAAUCAAAAGUAGAAAUGGGAAUCAAACCCACGGCUUUAGGAACCAAGUCCAGACAUAUUCCUAUGACGACAGGCUGCCUCACAAAAAUAAAAGUACCUUCUGAGUUUCUGUCAUCUUUGCUUAAGACCCAAGCCAAUUUUUUCCAUAUUGCUUCGGUUUUAAUAUAUGCGCUGUCAAAAUGAGCAUAUAUAAAAGCGUACAUCGUUAGCUAGGAUAAUUAAAUCCCUGGCUCAUCUGACCAUUUCACUAUAACAGCAGGCACUGUGUAGUUAACCCUCACUUUGCUGGUCCACCUCCCCUUGCAGACUAACAGCAAUAACAUCGCCUUGCAGAUAACAGGAAUGAUCCCUUUCCUAGUACCAAGGACAGUCUUUGAAACAAGAAUGACUGGAUAGAUUGGCGUCAGAUCACUGAUUAUGUGAGACAAAUGUGUGCCAUCCACCUGGACAAAUGUUUAUUUCAUAUCUCAGUCUCAGAAGCAGCAGGACAUCUGAAACAUGGAAGGGCUCCUGUACACUGUCAGUGCCCAGCAAUUUUGCAGAUGCCUUAUGUGUUGUGGUUAUGUUGGUUUUGGAUUUGGGUUUUCUUGCUUUUGGAGUUUAUUUUUGUUUUGUGCAUGUCCAUGUCUUUGUUUAUAAUAAAAUGCACCUCAAAUGUAUGUAAGGAAGCAUAAUGGCUGAAUCGAAUACUUUAGGAUGCCCUAAAAUUUAAGAAUAAGAUUGGCUCUAUUUUCAAAAUUAACUGAGCUGGUCAUUAAUCCUUUAUGUAUUAAGAAUCUCAUGUGCAGGAUACAAGAUAAACAUUAAAAAGUCAGUAGCUUCUCUGUACACAAUAUUGAACUGAGAAGAACAAAUCAGGAAAACAAUUCCACUCACAGUAGCUUCAAAAAAAUUACCUAGGAAUCAACCUAAGCAAGGAGGUGAAAGACCUCUACAAUGAAGAUUACAGAACUCUGAAGAAAGAAAUUGAAGAAGACACCAGAAAAUGGAAAGACCUCCCAUGUUCAUGGAUUGGCAGAAAUAACAUUUUAACCAAAAGCAAUCUACAGAUGCCAUGCAAUCUCCAUCAAAAC
rnacentral:lncRNA from 1 species